rnacentral:RNase_P_RNA from 1 species
CAAGCAAGCUGGACAGCCGCGUGGCCAGGCCGAAAGGCCGUCCAUGAGGAAAGUCCGGGCUCCAUAGGGCAAGAAUAACGGGUAACGCCCGCCGAAGGCGACUUCAGGACAAGUGCAACAGAGAGAUACCGCCUGGUGGUUCAUCCCCAGGUAAGGGUGGAAAGGUGAGGUAAGAGCUCACCCGCCGGCUCGGAAGUGUCCGGUGCUGUAAACUCUAUUCGGAGCAACACCGUGGAGGGGAAUGUGACCGGCCCGGUCUCCCCGGGGAGGUGGCUGGAGCGCGUUGGCAACAGCGCGCCUAGAUAGAUGGCUGUCGAAACAGAACCCGGCUUAUAGGCUUACUUGCGCC